UUGAUCUUUUUUAAAAUGUACGAUUGAAGUUCAGUCAUUAAGCCGUGACAAUUUUUUCGAUGUGCGAGUUGGUCACCGUUGUGUUGCGUAAUCGUUUUUAAUCAACGCAAGGGUGCUGCAGGCGCUGGGUUUCGUAAAUUCAAAUUCAAUUAUCCAAUCGUCUCUUGAAAUCCAAUCGUUGCAAUUGAAAUGGAAAAUGCUACCGGGUCUCGUGCUCCGUCAGGCACAUUUGUUUCCUGUGGUGUAUUCUGGAUAGAAAAUCAAGUUGCAGGAAUAUGAAAUUCAGCGCAAUUAAAUCGCUGAAUUUUGUUUUCUUUUAAGAGUUUGAAAUUCGCGCUGUAGUUGUGACAGGAUUUCAGGCAGCAUCAUUCCCCAGUUUAAAAGUGAAUUUGAGUUUGUUUUGAAAUCAGUGCCCAAGUGGAACCGCCGUCAGCGGCUGCAGACGUGCUAGUGAUCACGCAACGACGCGAGGUGUGGUUUUAUUUUUCAAGUAAUCCAAUCUAACUUUUUGUUAUUUCCUUUAUAGCUUUGCCGCUCGUCGUUCUUUCCCGUAAGGUUACUGCAGCUAGAAGCGUCAGCGGUCAAAUUAUUACCACCGCCAGACACUUGGAAAAAGGGAGGGAGAGCUUCAUUCGAAGGCAAGGCGAAUUUCCACUUCCACCGGUAGGUGACUAGUCCCACUUAAUGACCCAACGGAAUUUCGUCUGCUGCGGUCCAGUCUCAACAGCAUCAGCAAGGGGAAAUAUUCAGCAAAUUAUUUCGACAUCCACACAUCAACAAGACUAGGACAUCACCUCUUUCUUUCCCUUAGGAUUGGAGCGGCUAGGAACGUCAGUAGUGAAAUAACAACCGCCAGGAAUAUUGGACAAUUUAAUAGAGAGCUUCAUUCCAAGUCUGUUCCCAAUGGGCCCACCAGUAUGCUUUAGAUAUUGGGCAUAUCGACUGUGGGACCGUUAGUGUGGACGGGUGUUGCAUAUGAAGGAAUCUUGUCUCGGAUACCAGUGUCAAGUCCAGCACCGUUCUAAUAGCCAGAAAGUUACAACUAAGUGCGACAUUCUUCAAAGUGCAGCAGUUGCUUUGUGUGCAAAGCGUGAAUCUUGUCUUGUCUUUUGAGAACACAGCACAUGGUCACAUUUAGCUAUCAAACAAAGGCACUUGCUACCGUAAUUCUCCACAAACGGAAUUGCCAGCCCGGUUAAAUGGAAGCUGUAUGGCUGUUGGCUGUUGCUGUCUUAUGCAGAUCAUUUUUACUUGCCACCUUGCUAACUGCAUAAAUUGGGAAAGCUGCCUUAUUUGCACAUUUACAGCAGCUUGUUAGUUGUUUUUGAUUUAUGUCUGAUUUGUUUCAUAGUUUUUCCCACUGUUUGUUUGUUUGAGGUAUGACUAAAAUCGCCUGUGGUGUCGCAGUCCGAUGUGCUGAUGUUGAUGCCUGCCUAUUCCCUGGUUUAAGGAGUACUUAGACAGAAUCGAAUUUACGAUGGUGGUUAUCUUUCCGUUUUUGUUUCGUGUUCUCAUUAAGUGUGUUUUCUAUGUGUCGCUAUGCAAGUGAUUUGAG
rnacentral:lncRNA from 1 species